GACCUCCACCGCUCUUCCACUUUCCCCUCACGGUUCGCCCCAACAGGGUAUCCCCUUAUCCUCUUUCAUCCCAGCCCCCCAAUCCCUAGCCCCUUCUUUCCAUCGUCCGUAUCGCCGCCAGCGACCAGAAGCGCUCAAGGACCUCGGCAAUCUCCUGACCCGGUGGGAUAUCGUCAACGAGCCAGACCAGAUCCACCGGAGCAAUCAAGAUGGAUAAUUCUCAACAACAAUAUCUAUAUUACUGUAUGUGGAAGCAACGCACACUACUUGUCCUUUUUGUAAUGUUGGUCCUUUGGUGGAGCAAGAAAAAAGAGAGGAAGAAUAGAGCUAAAAGUGUCAAGUAUGGUCCACUUGUCAAGAGAGAUAUUUGGAGGAGUACUGAACUAAUUAGACUGAUCGACACCUUGGAAAGGACGUGUUUGCACCAGCUCAGGAUGUAUCCGGCCGUUUUCUACAAGCUGUGUGCUCACCUUAGGGACAAAAAUCUUUUGGUUGACACAAUUCAUGUGUCCGUAGAGGAGCAGCUAGCUAUGUUUCUGAAAAUUGUUGGGCAAUAUCACACUCAUUCCUCCGUAGGAUUUGCAUUGUGGCGAUCUAAAGAGACAGUGAGUAGGUAUUUUAACAUCGUCCUAUGUGCCCUUGUGAAGUUAGCCCGUGAAAUAAUCUGUACUCGGUCUACAGAUACACAUGCUAAGAUCACUACCAACCCAAACAGAUUGUAUCCCUACUUUGAGGGAUGUAUAGGGGCACUAUAUGGCACCCAUAUUAGGGAACGUGUGCCUUCAAAAUAUGUGGACAGGUUUAGGGGCCGCAAGCCAUAUCCCACACAGAAUGUCCUAGCUGCUGUGGAUUUCGAUCUUAGAUUCACGUAUGUUCUAGCAGGGUGGGAGGGAUCUGCUCAUGAUUCUGCUGUAUUGCAUGAUGCCCUAUCUCGACCAAACGGUCUCAAAAUUCCAGAAGGAAAAUUUUAUUUGGCUGAUGCUGGGUAUGCCACCAGGCCGGGCAUAUUGCCACCUUAUCGAGGUGUUCGCAAUCAUCUGCAGGAGUUCCAUGGUCCGAAUCGUCCAACCUCUCCAAAAGAGUUGUUCAACCACCAUCAUUCCUCACUAAGGACAACGGUCGAGCGAGCCUUUGCAGCUAUUAAUAAUCGUUUCAAGAUUCUUAGUAAUAGACCUUUCAUACCCUUGAAAUCACAACCCAAGGUGGUUAUUGCUUGUUGCGUCAUUCACAACUGGAUUUUAGACAACGGACCCGAUGAGUUUGUAGAUGACGAACCGACUUGGUACCACCACCUGCCAGGGAGUAGCAAUCGUGUCUCUGACCGAGAGAGUGAUGUACACGAGUGGGCAGCCAAGCGUGAUUCGAUUGCCCAACAGAUGUGGAAUGAUAGAGAAAGAUUGGCGAACAAUGAUGCUUCGGACAGCAGGAGCAGUGCUAGUACCAUUUGAAACUACUUUGUUGUAGUACAUCUCCCUCAUUUAGCAGUUCCAUGUUUAGACAUUUUGUGUUAAUCUAGCUCUGUAAUUUUCUUUUCCAUGUAUUGUGCAACUUUACUUUUAUUUUGGAAUGUACUGUUGGGUAAUGUAUGGAUUGACUGGUUGUGCUGAAACCCUUGUAUAUUCGCUGACAUAAUAGCAUAUUGACUUCUGACCUUCAUUUAUAGAAUGGGUGAGCAAAAAGAAGGUGCCAAGCAUGAGGUUGCUCGCUCUCGUGAUAAUUACAUGUCAUGGAGUGAUGAUUGUACCAAGUAUAUGCUAGAGUGGUAUAUCGAGAAGCAAAGGGACAAGCCACCAACCUUCAAGUGGAAGGCACAACACCAUCUACAAUGUGCUAAUGAUUUGAAUGACAAGUUUGGAAUUACAGCUACAGCGAAACAAGUUCAUCGACACUUUAGGUCAUUCAAGGAGAAAUGGAAGUGGAUAAAGCUAGCAAAGGGGAGGAGUGGAUAUGGUUUCGAUAAAGUACUUAACAAAUUUAACAUUGACAAGUCAGAGAAAUCACCAAGCAAGCUUGGCAAAAUAAAAUUUCACUACCUUACUCAUUCCAUCAAGUUUUAUCAUCUCUUGGAAGAACUGUUUAGUGACUCGUCUCAUGCGGAUGGCACACUAGGUAUUGAUGUGAAUGAUGCAAGUGAGAAUGUGGAAUCUGAUGGUAGUAGUGAAACAAGCAGCCACACAUCCACUGCUGAACAAGGUCUUAGUGAUUCCGACAUGAUUGCACCCAACAGUCCAGCAGAAGGCACUAGAUCAAAUCUGAAGCGCAAGCAUGUUAGAGCACCACAUAAGAAGAAACCAAAGGUCAAGGCACGUCGAGCCAGAGUGUUAGAUGAUGAUGUGGCAGCGAGCAUUGUGAGUCUUGCUGAAACUGUGAAAUCUGCCGCCCCUAUUCAGCCAAUAGCAGCUGCAGACCAUAAUGCCAAUCUUUGGAAGCACAUUGAGUCGCUAACUCUCCCAGCAAAUGAGAAAAUUGAGUUAGCAACCUAUCUUGCUAAGCCAGAACAAGAAGUUUUUCGUGUUUUCUUGAACUGUGCUAGCGACCAGACUUUUAAUGCUUGGGUCCUUGAUUAUUUCGCGCACAAGUACGACGGCAAAGAUCGUGCAGCUGCUGAUCCAUCAAUCUGAAUGACAUGUUUGGUGGCUUUCUUUUGGCAAGUGCUUUUGUAGUCUACUUAGCUCCUUUCCAUGCACUUAUGCUAAGUGGAUUCCUGUGCUCUAAGGGUGUUUAGAGGGUCUUACCUUUUGUAAUGCAUUGCUGUAGCACAAAUCUGAAUUAACUUGAUGGUGGAUGGCCUUGUGCAUGCUA